rnacentral:rRNA from 2 species
UGUGAGCUCGAUGAGUAGGGCGGGACACGUGGUAUCCUGUCUGAAUAUGGGGGGACCAUCCUCCAAGGCUAAAUACUCCUGACUGACCGAUAGUGAACCAGUACCGUGAGGGAAAGGCGAAAAGAACCCCGGCGAGGGGAGUGAAAAAGAACCUGAAACCGUGUACGUACAAGCAGUGGGAGCCUCUUAAUGGGGUGACUGCGUACCUUUUGUAUAAUGGGUCAGCGACUUAUAUUCUGUAGCAAGGUUAACCGAAUAGGGGAGCCGAAGGGAAACCGAGUCUUAACUGGGCGUUAAGUUGCAGGGUAUAGACCCGAAACCCGGUGAUCUAGCCAUGGGCAGGUUGAAGGUUGGGUAACACUAACUGGAGGACCGAACCGACUAAUGUUGAAAAAUUAGCGGAUGACUUGUGGCUGGGGGUGAAAGGCCAAUCAAACCGGGAGAUAGCUGGUUCUCCCCGAAAGCUAUUUAGGUAGCGCCUCGUGAAUUCAUCUCCGGGGGUAGAGCACUGUUUCGGCAAGGGGGUCAUCCCGACUUACCAACCCGAUGCAAACUGCGAAUACCGGAGAAUGUUAUCACGGGAGACACACGGCGGGUGCUAACGUCCGUCGUGAAGAGGGAAACAACCCAGACCGCCAGCUAAGGUCCCAAAGUCAUGGUUAAGUGGGAAACGAUGUGGGAAGGCCCAGACAGCCAGGAUGUUGGCUUAGAAGCAGCCAUCAUUUAAAGAAAGCGUAAUAGCUCACUGGUCGAGUCGGCCUGCGCGGAAGAUGUAACGGGGCUAAACCAUGCACCGAAGCUGCGGCAGCGACACUAUGUGUUGUUGGGUAGGGGAGCGUUCUGUAAGCCUGUGAAGGUGGCCUGUGAGGGUUGCUGGAGGUAUCAGAAGUGCGAAUGCUGACAUAAGUAACGAUAAAGCGGGUGAAAAGCCCGCUCGCCGGAAGACCAAGGGUUCCUGUCCAACGUUAAUCGGGGCAGGGUGAGUCGACCCCUAAGGCGAGGCCGAAAGGCGUAGUCGAUGGGAAACAGGUUAAUAUUCCUGUACUUGGUGUUACUGCGAAGGGGGGACGGAGAAGGCUAUGUUGGCCGGGCGACGGUUGUCCCGGUUUAAGCGUGUAGGCUGGUUUUCCAGGCAAAUCCGGAAAACCAAGGCUGAGGCGUGAUGACGAGGCACUACGGUGCUGAAGCGACAAAUGCCCUGCUUCCAGGAAAAGCCUCUAAGCAUCAGGUAACAUCAAAUCGUACCCCAAACCGACACAGGUGGUCAGGUAGAGAAUACCAAGGCGCUUGAGAGAACUCGGGUGAAGGAACUAGGCAAAAUGGUGCCGUAACUUCGGGAGAAGGCACGCUGAUAUGUAGGUGAAGCGACUUGCUCGUGGAGCUGAAAUCAGUCGAAGAUACCAGCUGGCUGCAACUGUUUAUUAAAAACACAGCACUGUGCAAACACGAAAGUGGACGUAUACGGUGUGACGCCUGCCCGGUGCCGGAAGGUUAAUUGAUGGGGUUAGCGGUAACGCGAAGCUCUUGAUCGAAGCCCCGGUAAACGGCGGCCGUAACUAUAACGGUCCUAAGGUAGCGAAAUUCCUUGUCGGGUAAGUUCCGACCUGCACGAAUGGCGUAAUGAUGGCCAGGCUGUCUCCACCCGAGACUCAGUGAAAUUGAACUCGCUGUGAAGAUGCAGUGUACCCGCGGCAAGACGGAAAGACCCCGUGAACCUUUACUAUAGCUUGACACUGAACAUUGAGCCUUGAUGUGUAGGAUAGGUGGGAGGCUUUGAAGUGUGGACGCCAGUCUGCAUGGAGCCGACCUUGAAAUACCACCCUUUAAUGUUUGAUGUUCUAACGUUGGCCCGUAAUCCGGGUUGCGGACAGUGUCUGGUGGGUAGUUUGACUGGGGCGGUCUCCUCCUAAAGAGUAACGGAGGAGCACGAAGGUUGGCUAAUCCUGGUCGGACAUCAGGAGGUUAGUGCAAUGGCAUAAGCCAGCUUGACUGCGAGCGUGACGGCGCGAGCAGGUGCGAAAGCAGGUCAUAGUGAUCCGGUGGUUCUGAAUGGAAGGGCCAUCGCUCAACGGAUAAAAGGUACUCCGGGGAUAACAGGCUGAUACCGCCCAAGAGUUCAUAUCGACGGCGGUGUUUGGCACCUCGAUGUCGGCUCAUCACAUCCUGGGGCUGAAGUAGGUCCCAAGGGUAUGGCUGUUCGCCAUUUAAAGUGGUACGCGAGCUGGGUUUAGAACGUCGUGAGACAGUUCGGUCCCUAUCUGCCGUGGGCGCUGGAGAACUGAGGGGGGCUGCUCCUAGUACGAGAGGACCGGAGUGGACGCAUCACUGGUGUUCGGGUUGUCAUGCCAAUGGCACUGCCCGGUAGCUAAAUGCGGAAGAGAUAAGUGCUGAAAGCAUCUAAGCACGAAACUUGCCCCGAGAUGAGUUCUCCCUGACUCCUUGAGGGUCCUGAAGGAACGUUGAAGACGACGACGUUGAUAGGCCGGGUGUGUAAGCGCAGCGAUGCGUUGAGCUAACCGGUACUAAUGAACCGUGAGGCUUAACCUU